UAUCGGAAUCAAAAGCGAGCAGUUGUCCACUUCAUAUUUGAUUCGAAUUUGAAGGAAGCUCUGAAAUGAAAUUGCCCCGUUUCAGUGCGUAAACUAUUCUGCGAGGCCGGCAAAUGGAAACAGUGGCCUCGACCGGCAUUCGUCGUUGUUCUACGAUCAACUACGCGUUAGCAUCAAGCAUCAAGGAAUCUCUAGCUGCCUGGAAGAGCACAUGGAACUUUGGAUUCGAUCGACAACCAGAGCCGCGGACAAAUGCUAAUCCGCUCGGAUCCGACGAGUUCGAGGAGGCGAAGAACGGGCCUCGAUACACCUAUCCGCACGGUGCUUCGUUCGCGCGCAAGAGAUACUACAUUUUUCUUCUGUAAAAAACUUCCCGAACGGACGAUCACACAAACCAUACCUCGGUUCCAAAUCGGCACUGUCACACACAGGAGAUAGAUAUCACUGGGACGUGUCCGGUGGUGAAUUCGAUCGGUCACGGCGCAACGACGACGGCACGUGAUUCCGAGGAGGAUGGAAGAAAAAAAAAAGAGGUGCGUAAAUUUCCCGUGUAAAUAAAUAAAAAGCAGCUCUACGUCUCGCGCGGAUGUCGUCGACCGUGUGCCCUGUACCCGUUGCGAAUAACACAGGGGUGCGUCCGCCUCGAGGUUUUCGGGCGUAAUAGUUGCUCCGACUAAGAUUCGGGGCUACAUAUAGGAGCGCAGCCUCCCUCGCCCUCCGCCGCGACCGCCACCAUCUUCUUCUUCUUCUUCGUCGUCGUCGUCUUCUUCUUCUUCAGCUGCCGCGCCGCUGCUGCACGCGCUCGGAAGGGUGUCGCGUCGGCCGCCUCUGUUUGCUCGCCCGGUGGCGAAGCCUCCUGUGACCACCGUGUGCAUGUCGCUCUUUCCACAAUGUUGUGCGUGCACUUAGUUUAGCCGGGAGUGAGCAACGAGCCUACGCGAUUUUAACACUUGCCUCGCCGGAAUCCUAUUAAUAGAGCCACCGAGCUGCAUGGAAAAGAGGUACGCGGCGCUAUUUUCCUUUAACACUUUCGCUUCGUUCUUUACGACGCUUUUGCCUCGUUCUUUUGGCGCGUGACGGAAUUAUUCGCUCGGUUAUGGAAAUUCGUUCGUACACGGAUCCGUCGCGUCAUUCUAGUUUGCGGUUAGAGUCCGCGGAUUACGUACUAACUGUCGAAAAGAAGGCAGUCCAGUCGAUGUCGCGCGUCGCUCCGUCCGCGCGUGUAUUUUUCAAACACACACGCAAUUCCACGAAGACGAUGUAAACAACGGUCGGCUUCGCGCGAGUCACUAUGAAAGGACACCCGGUUUACGUUACCGUAGGUAACGUAACCGAAUGCCAAAAAAAUCUACUAAAGCCGUCGGGACGAGGUUCUCGAUUUUAUUGGGUUGGGGAAUAAGUUCGUAGCGGUUUU